rnacentral:rRNA from 1 species
UACGUAGGUGACAAGCGUUGUCCGGAUUUACUGGGCGUAAAGAGCGCGCAGGCGGUCGAUCAAGUCGAGUGUGAAAGCCCCCGGCUCAACUGGGGAGGGUCAUUCGAUACUGAUCGACUCGAAGGCAGGAGAGGGUAGUGGAAUUCCCGGUGUAGCGGUGAAAUGCGCAGAUAUCAGGAAGAACACCCGUGGCGAAGGCGGCUCUCUGGGACGGUACUGACGCUGAGACGCGAAAGCGUGGGGAGCGAACAGG